CCUACGGGUGGCAGCAGUGGGGAAUAUUGCACAAUGGGCGCAAGCCUGAUGCAGCCAUGCCGCGUGUGUGAAGAAGGCCUUCGGGUUGUAAAGCACUUUCAGCGGGGAGGAAGGCGGUGAGGUUAAUAACCUCAUCGAUUGACGUUACCCGCAGAAGAAGCACCGGCUAACUCCGUGCCAGCAGCCGCGGUAAUACGGAGGGUGCAAGCGUUAAUCGGAAUUACUGGGCGUAAAGCGCACGCAGGCGGUCUGUCAGGUCGGAUGUGAAAUCCCCGGGCUCAACCUGGGAACUGCAUUCGAAACUGGCAGGCUAGAGUCUUGUAGAGGGGGGUAGAAUUCCAGGUGUAGCGGUGAAAUGCGUAGAGAUCUGGAGGAAUACCGGUGGCGAAGGCGGCCCCCUGGACAAAGACUGACGCUCAGGUGCGAAAGCGUAGGGAGCAAACAGGAUUAGAUACCCUGGUAGUC
rnacentral:rRNA from 1 species